rnacentral:rRNA from 1 species
UACGUAGGGGGCGAGCGUUGUCCGGAGUUACUGGGCGUAAAGCGCACGCAGGCGGUCUGUUAAGUUUGGCGUGACAGUUGGUGGCUCAACCACCAAAGUGCUUUGAAAACUGAUAGACUUGAGGGCUUCAGAGGGACACGGAAUUCCGGGUGGAGUGGUGAAAUGCGUAGAGAUCCGGAGGAACACCAAAGGCGAAGGCAGUGUCCUGGGGAGUACCUGACGCUCAGGUGCGAAAGCCAGGGGAGCGAACGGG